GUAGGGAAUCUUCCGCAAUGGGCGAAAGCCUGACGGAGCAAUGCCGCGUGAGGGAUGAAGGUCUUCGGAUCGUAAACCUCUGUUGAGGGGGAAGAACGUUGCGUACAAUAACACUGUACGUAGCUUGACGGUACUCCUCGAGGAAGCCUCGGCUAAUUACGUGCCAGCAGCCGCGGUAAUACGUAAGAGGCAAGCGUUGUCCGGAAUCACUGGGCGUAAAGCGCACGUAGGCGGCGUGGCAAGUCAGGGGUGUAAGCUCCAGGCUUAACCUGGAAAUUGCCCUUGAAACUACCACGCUUGAGCGUCAGAGGGGAGACUGGAAUUCACGGUGUAGCGGUGAAAUGCGUAGAUAUCGUGGAGAACACCCGUGGCGAAGGCGGGUCUCUGGCUGACUGCUGACGCUGAGGUGCGAAAGCUAGGGGAGCGAACGGGAUUAGAAACCCUAGUAGUCC
rnacentral:rRNA from 1 species